CCCUCCCAACCGUAGAAUAAAAAAUGAGAAUCCUCCAUCCUUUACUAACAAAAGAGAGAGAUAUCUCCAUCCUUCUCCUUGUUAUGGGCUGUAGUAGGUGGUGGCCAUGCCUAUCUCUUUCACCUGUACACUUAAAUAAACUUGCACACUGUUACAAUUCUAAGUAUCGAAGAACUGAUGUGAUUGGUCAAAUUUACACAAAGAAAAAUAAUAGCUUUUAUGAAUGAAAGAGAAAUGUGUUUGUCACGUGUGUAAGAUUGUUUUGAAUUUGUUGCCUCGUGCCUGCGCCGCCAUUGUAAUUUUACUGCGAAAGAUUGGUUUUGACUUUUCAAUAAUUGAAAUCAUUGAAAUUCGCAUGAGCGCCGCUGGAAUUACUAAUAAUAAGGAUAAAUCUUUCUUGUUAAUUAAUUAUCUUCACUAUUUAAAUAAAUUUUGAUUAAUAAAAAGAUAUACAAUGUAGUUCGACUCGUGCUUGGUUAUUGAUAAAAGUAAUUUUGUUUUAAAUUAAAAAUGAGGCAAUGUGUUAUUCCCAAGUGUAAAACGCGAUCAAAUUACGUGCUGUACCUUUUACUGAUAGUGAUAACACUAGAUGGGAGGCAUGGUUCAUCAAUUGUCCAAUAUUACGGAAAUAUACUCGUAGGCUGUUAGAAAACGUUAAAAUUUGUGAAAACCACUUUCUACCCAGAAAAAAGACCUACUUAUUGGUAAUCAAUGUGCACAGUGGUCCAUCAUUGAGGAGCUCUAUGCUACAGAUGGUGAAGCCGGACGUGCAAGAACCACAACCCUGACGGAUAAACACAUUAGACCAACUUCUUAUGACAAGAUGAAGG
rnacentral:lncRNA from 1 species